rnacentral:rRNA from 1 species
GACGAACGCUGGCGGCGUGCUUAACACAUGCAAGUCGAACGGGUCUGCCCUGUUUUUUGCGGGGUGGGUCAGUGGCGAACGGGUGAGUAACACGUGAGUAACCUGCCCCCCACUUCUGGAUAACCGCUGGAAAGGGUGGCUAGCACGGGGUGUUCUGGCUGUGCCGCAUGGUGCGGCUGGGAAUGAUUCCCUUCUGUGGUGUGUUGGUGGGGGAUGGGCUCGCGGCCUAUCGGGUUGUUGGUGGGGUGAUGGCCUGCCAAGGCUUUGACGGGUAGCCGGCCUGAGAGGGUGGGCGGUCACACUGGGGCUGAGGUGCGGCCCAGACUCCGGCGGGAGGCAGCAGUGGGGGGUAUUGCACAAUGGGCGGAAGCCUGAUGCAGCGACGUCGCGGGAGGGAUGGAGGCCUUCGGGUUGUGAACCUCUUUCGCCGGUGAAGAGGGUCCUGCUCUUGGUGGUGGGGUUGACGGUAGCCGGGUUAUGAAGCGCCGGCUAACUACGUG